UCUCUUCGUCGCUCUUUCUCCCCCUCGCUGCUUCUUCUCCAUUCUCUCUGUUAUUUUGCAGAUUUGAAAGCAUCGAAAAUACUACUAGUAACAGGGAAAAAUCAAUAUAGUUUGUGUUUUCGGAAAGAAAGACUCUUGCUGGUAUACUUACAAGGGUUUUCGCACUUUGAUUGUGUGAUUCUGUUCUCUUAACCUUUUUCUUUUUUUUGGUUGUUGUUUUCUGAUCUUAAUUGAUCGUGUAUAUUUAUGUUAUAGGUAAAGAAUUGUGUCAGGAUGGUUGACACAAAUUUAAGUGCAUGGGCUCAAAUUGGAGAAUAAUAAUACAACAGAUUAUUUUCUUCGGUUAUUAGUUUAUGUAAAACUGAAGCUUAAUCACGAAACGUUACCGGCUGCUAUUAUGGUGUUAAUGAUUUUAUUUUCUGAUUUACGGUUGUUGAUUUUUAAUUGAUCUCAUUAUGUUUUAUUUUUGUAGGCUAGGAUCAUUCUAUGAACCCAAAUGGGAAGAAGGGUUUGUUUCUCGAAUUAGGGUUACUUUGCUCUUGAAUUAGGGUUUCUAAUUAAAUGGAAAUUUGGGCUCUUAAUGGUUUUUGAUUAUUGAUUUUUUUAAAGAUGUCAGGAUGUCAUUGUGUUUUAAAUUUUCAAAUUUUUAGGCGACGCACAUAGAUGGUUUACAUAUUAAAACUAUAGAAUGUAAUAGCCUAAUAGGCAUGCAUUAUUUUUUGGGCACUUGAAUUUCUGGAAACUGAAAGUAUGGAAUUUCGAACAGAUCCAAAUUGUGGUAAAGGAGGUGAGCAGGGACAACGGAAAUUGUGGUAAGCAGUUUCAAAGUCUUACACAAGCUUAGAAAGUAAAAUUACAUAAACAGAAAGUGAUGAACACGGAACAAGGGUUAUUGCUUUCUCAAAUAAUUUUCUUCAAGUGGAAAAGGAUGGAUACUCUAACUGGGGGCAACGAGGAGAUGGGCGAGGCCGAGGCAACGAUGAUUAUGGUACACCAUGUGCCUUAAUGGGAUUGACUCCCUGAUUUACUAUUUGGGAUUCUGGCAGAUUCUGCAUAUGAAGAAAAAUGCAAACAAGGUUUUAUGUGUCACAGCACGGGAGCCUUCUAGCAGAGUUCCUUGCAUCGAACACAAGUAUAUCAUAUACGAAAGGUUGCAGCUCAUGUAGUGAAGGAAGGAGAUGCUACUCAUAUAACAGUAAGUUUAUUUUUCCUAAAUUUUUAACAUAUGCCAAUUCGACUAAUUAAUAUAUCUUAGAUUUUUCUCUUAAAUCCAAACACCUUUAGUGAUAGCCUACAAAGUAGCUUUAGCGUUUAGGUUACUAAUUGCUAGUUUGGCAUCUUCUUUGCUCUCAGAUGGUAGGAAAGUCUAAGUAUCUUCCAAGUUUCGGAUAGGUAUCUCGCAAGUCUUAAUACAUAAAUUAUACUUCUGGUUUUAAGUAUUUGAAACUCGAACAUGUUGUAAUUAUUGGUGGAUCUCUGGUCUUGGUAUCCCCGUAUGUUAAUUUUAGUAUGUUCUUUUACUUUAAUGUUACAUAAUCGAUGGUUGGGUUUCGUGAUUGCUUGGAACACAAAUAUUUUUUUAGUUGCAAUAAAAAAAAAAUCUACAGCAUAUUAUGGGUUUAACACGGGCUAAAAGUUGUUGUGAUGUGGUAUCCAUUCAUGUAAAAGAUAUCUUCUUAUUGUUCUUGCUAAUGAUUUUUUUCUUUUUCCUAAUGUGAAUGUUGUAUUAGAUGCUUUAGAUCAAUAGCAGGGCAUCAAAGAACCCAUGCGGUACCUCAAGAACAAUUUUGAUUUGUUUUAGGGAAAACAUAUGAAGCAGGUUUAAGCGAUAAUCAUGUAAAAAAUUUCGUUUUUUUUGUUGUUAAUAUGCAUUUUAACUGCGAAAUUUGAAACUACUAAAGAGUUGUAAUAAUUUGAUUGUAUGGAAUUCUGAUUUGAUUUUCUAAAA